UACGUAGGGUGCGAGCGUUGUCCGGAAUUAUUGGGCGUAAAGAGCUCGUAGGCGGUCUGUCGCGUCUGCUGUGAAAACUCAGGGCUUAACCCUGAGCUUGCAGUGGGUACGGGCAGACUAGAGUGCGGUAGGGGAGACUGGAAUUCCUGGUGUAGCGGUGAAAUGCACAGAUAUCAGGAGGAACGACCGGUGGCGAAGGCGGGUCUCUGGGCCGUAACUGACGGCUGAGGAGCGAAAGCAUGGGGAGCGAACAGG
rnacentral:rRNA from 1 species